rnacentral:rRNA from 1 species
AUUCCAGCUCCAAUAGCGUAUAUUAAAGUUGUUGCAGUUAAAACGCUCGUAGUCGGAUUUCGGGGCGGGCCGACCGGUCUGCCGAUGGGUAUGCACUGGCCGGCGCGUCCUUCCACCCGGAGACCGCGCCUACUCUUAACUGAGCGGGCGCGGGAGACGGGUCUUUUACUUUGAAAAAAUCAGAGUGUUUCAAGCAGGCAGUCGCUCUUGCAUGGAUUAGCAUGGGAUAAUGAAAUAGGACUCUGGUGCUAUUUUGUUGGUUUCGAACACCGGAGUAAUGAUUAACAGGGACAGUCAGGGGCACUCGUAUUCCGCCGAGAGAGGUGAAAUUCUCAGACCAGCGGAAGACGAACCACUGCGAAAGCAUUUGCCAGGGAUGUUUUCAUCG